rnacentral:misc_RNA from 1 species
AGCAUGACAACGAGGCCGCAUUCGGAACCUACGAGGCCUUCAUUCCCCACAAUUCAACCAGCUCGAAAGUAGCUGCAACGACGGAAGUUGUGACUGUGGCGUCAACACGAUCAGAGUUCGAGACUUUGAUAUCAACUGUAGUUUCUUGGACGACCAGCAUUACUACCGAGGUCGUCCCUUACGUGUCCACAAUGACAGUCACAAGCACAUACCAUGAUAUCGUCCAGGUCGUGGAGUCGGUUCAGUCCAGCUUGCGAACACCUGAUAUACACACUUGUAUUUUUGUUUUGCAUACAUAUCAAAGAGUAGAAAACACGUACAACAAAAGAACACCUGUACUCCCGCGCAUACAACAACGGCCGACGUAUUGCCAUUUAUCCCUUGAUGGUAUAUUUUCCUCUACCAGGUGAUUGAAGUGUGGCAGACCGUGGUGUGGCAGACGGCUAAGCAAAUCAUGUUCCUGCAGGAGAUGCUGACGGGACAGGAACUUACUGUAACAGU